GCGAACGGGUGCGUAACACGUUGGUGACCUGCCUUGAGGAGGGGGGCAACCGUGGGAAACCACGGCUAAUACCCCGGAUGUCGCGUUGUUAGAGGGUUUGGACUAAAACUUCGGUGCCUCAAGAGGGGCCUGCGGGCUAUCAGCUUGUUGGUGGGGUGAUGGCCUACCAAGGCUAAGACGGCUAGGGGGCGUGAGAGCGCGACCCCCCACAAUGGAACUGAUACACGGUCCAUACUCCUACGGGAGGCAGCAGUGAGGAAUAUUGCGCAAUGGGGGAAACCCUGACGCAGCAACGCCGCGUGAACGAUGAAGGCCUUCGGGUUGUAAAGUUCUUUUCUAAGGGAAGAUAGUGACGGUACCUUAGGAAUAAGUCCCGGCUAACUACGUGCCAGCAGCCGCGGUAAAACGUAGGGGGCGAGCGUUAUCCGGAUUUAUUGGGCGUAAAGCGCACGUAGGCGGCGUCGUAAGUUGGAUGUGAAAGCUCCCGGCUCAACUGGGAGAGGUCAUUCAAUACUGCAACGCUUGAGGUUAGAAGAGGAGAGCAGAAUUCCCGGUGUAGUGGUGGAACGCGUAGAUAUCGGGAGGAAUACCAGUGGCGAAGGCGGCUCUCUAGUCUACACCUGACGCUGAGGUGCGAAAGCGUGGGUAGCGAACGGGAUUAGAUACCCCGGUAGUCCACGCUGUAAACGAUGGAUACUAUGUGUAGGAGGUUAUCUAACCCUUCUGUGCCGAAGCAAACGCGUUAAGUAUCCCGCCUGGGGACUACGGCCGCAAGGUUAAAACUCAAAGGAAUUGACGGGGGCCCGCACAAGCAGCGGAGCGUGUGAUUUAAUUCGAUGAUACGCGAAGAAUCCUUACCUGGGCUUGACAUGUCGGUAGUAGUGAAGUGAAGCGACGACCCUUC
rnacentral:rRNA from 1 species